CAGACAAGCCAAGGCGGACGGGUGAGUAACGCGUAAGGAACUUGCCCUGCAGACAGGGAUAACAGACGGAAACGACUGACAAGACCUGAUACAGUUGCCGGCACGCAUGUGCCUGGCGAUGAAAGGAGACGCUGCAGGAGAGCCUUGCGUCCUAUUAGCUUGUUGGCGGGGUAAUGGCCCACCAAGGCGAUGAUAGGUAGCCGGCCUGAGAGGGUGGACGGCCACAAGGGGACUGAGAUACGGCCCUUACUCCUACGGGAGGCAGCAGUGGGGAAUAUUGGACAAUGGGGGCAACCCUGAUCCAGCAAUUCUGUGUGCACGAAGAAGGUUUUCGGAUUGUAAAGUGCUUUCAGCAGGGAAGAAGAAAGUGACGGUACCUGCAGAAGAAGCGACGGCUAAAUACGUGCCAGCAGCCGCGGUAAUACGUAUGUCGCGAGCGUUAUCCGGAAUUAUUGGGCAUAAAGGGCAUCUAGGCGGCCCUGUAAGUCUAGGGUGAAAACCUGCGGCUCAACCGCAGGCCUGCCCCGGAAACUACAGGGCUAGAGUGCUGGAGAGGUGGACGGAACUGCACGAGUAGAGGUGAAAUUCGUAGAUAUGUGCAGGAAUGCCGAUGAUGAAGAUAGUUCACUGGACGGCAACUGACGCUGAAGUGCGAAAGCUAGGGGAGCAAACAGGAUUAGAUACCCUGGUAGUCCUAGCUGUAAACGAUGAUUACUGGGUGUGGGCAUGAAGAGUGUCCGUGCCGAAGCU
rnacentral:rRNA from 1 species